ACUAAAAAUACCUGAACAAAUUUCAAUAAUAAUGUCUUUUUAUAACCUCUAUGUAAUGUUUGGAUUCUCUGCUUCCGCGCGGUUCUGGACUGUCGAGAAGUAAAAGUGUAUUCGUUCGAAAAAGAUUGUUUUUAUAUGGAAACUUCGUGGAGCCUUUUUCAUCUUUGUCUAUUUGUAGUGAAUGUAAUUGUACAGAUAUAUGGAGAGGAAAUGUGUGUUGCAAGUAAAGUGAAACAGGUCAGUAGAUGUCCUCGCACAAAAUAUGAAUGGAAAUCAGAGGCCCUUAUAAAGAACUGUUCUAGUGGAACAUUGAGACCCAGCCUGGUGUACCACUGUCUCAUCAAUACCUGGAUGAAUAUGACUUUGUCUGUUUGUGCAAAGCCCAAAAGAAUUAUUGGUUAUCACUGUCCAGAGUUCAACAUGGGGGGGAUGUAGGAUUGAACCAAACCUUUUUACAUCUUGUCGAAACUUCUCUACGUCUUGCCAAUUUAGAUAUGAAUCCACGAAAGCAUACAAUUUACAGGAAUGCUAUGCAUUGGUUCCGAAGCCAAUUGGGGGAAGACAAACAAUAUUCAGAAAAACAACCAGUGGCAUAAUCAGCAAAAGCAACGGGGAAAUGUCUCCAGCCUGCUUCAGUAGAUUUUUACUGAUAUUGCUGCA